AUGGGAAAGUUCCUAAUUGUAGAAAGUUUCCGUUUUGUUUUUGGAAUAAAUAAGCUGAAUUGAGUUCAUAAAUGGAACGAGAAGUUUUAUGAAGAUGACAUGGCAAGGAGAGAAUCAAGGAAGAGUUUUUUUUAAAAAAGGAAAAUAUAUUUUCCUUGGGGAUUAAAUUUGCCGUGUAAUACUUAAGGAAAAACAAGGUGACAACGUGGGAAUUGAAGAUGAUUGAUUGAGGAUUUCAAGGAGAGAUUUUCUUGGGAGACUUUUAUGGAAAGAAAUAUUGUUGGAGGAAUAAUUUGGUGUGAUUGCCAAUGUGAAAAUCAGAAAUAAUCAAGGAGAUGACGCCAAGAGAGAUUCAAGGGAGAUAUUUAUGGAAGGAAAAUAUGUGUGCACCAAGGAAAAGCUAAAAAGGCGUCUAGAUUCAUCCCUAAAUUCCCUAAAGGAAUGUUGGUCGAAAUUCAUGAAGAAAAUCAGAAUAAUUUCAAGG
rnacentral:lncRNA from 1 species